AAGUUUAGGUUAACCCGAUCAAACCAAGAGCCUUCAAA
rnacentral:tRNA from 1 species